AGUUCCAGUCUGCCAUAAAUUUAAGUAAGGAAUCUACUUUGUUAAUGCGAAUAGAGAGCAUCUAACUUUUACCUUAUCCUGUUUUCCUGCGCGUCUCGGCGGACCUAAUCUGUUUGCACCAAGAGGCUGCUGCCAGAAAUGUAAUCUUGCCAGAAAUAAUGAGACGGGGCUUUGAUCCAACCUGCGUGGCACUGCAGCAAGAGACUCUCCUCGACAUGUUACCUACAACUAACACCACUGAAGAGACAGCAUGACGAUCCACAGUAUGGCCAAGGGCUCUGUUCUGAAGGUUAAAGUUGGGAAAUACGUGACGGUCCGGCAAUGUAAGGAUGGAGUGAAGCUGUGUGCUUGGGACAGUCAAACAGAACUUUUAGUCGACAUAUACACGCGGCAAAUAGGCAACAAGAACCAGAUGGCUUUCUGUUUCCACCACAAAGGUGGUUGCUAUCUCCUAAAAGUGGGGAAGACGGGAAUGAACCUUGAGCAAAUCACCCCAUCCGUGUCUCCUUCACGUGAUGAGCACUGGUUUGAGAGGGUUCAACAGAACGUCGGCGAUAAAUUCGGCCUGCGAUCUGUCGGAGAUUCCAGCAAAUACCUCUCAUUAGACGCUAACGACAACACAUCAAUUGUCUGCCACAGUGAAAUGAACGUGUUUGGUCUGUUCACGUGUUAUAGCAAAGCCUAGAGGCAUCCAUCGUCAGCUCAGCUUCAUCUUCUACAUUCCAUGCUGGGACAGAUACCUUCCUCUGGACCAAGCAGACACUGCAGUUCUUUAGCUAAUGUGUCAUUCAUGGGUGGCUAAGUGUCUUCUCAUUAACUUUAUUAAAGGGGUGCUCUUGCAAUUUAGUUCUGUUACUUCCAUUAAGCUGGGGGACCUGGAAGAGAGAGAUUAAAAAAGAAAUGGUCAACAUUGGGGCAGCAGUGGUCGAGAUCUCGUUAUUUUUAAUUCCCAGUCUGGGUCAAGCUCAAAAAACACUGGAUCCCAAACUUGAUCCCAAAUCUGAUUUCAUUUCUUAAGCCUUUCCAGCUGGUAAAUACUGUUAAACUUGUGUUUCAAACAUGACACCCCAGUUUGUAACUUUCUGUUAAAAGUGUGAAGCUCUCGGACGAUACCUGAGGAGUUCUCCGCACGACGAGUAAACUCAUCAACAAUUGGUGGUGUUUCCCUUUAAUGUGAAAAUGUUCCUCAAAUGCUUUUGGUAUGAUGGCAUUUAAGCAGGAAGGGGGGAGGGGGUGUUGACUACUGAAUGUUUGUGAAGCAGAUUUAAGUUUUUUUGGUUUGACAUAUCUCUACUGAAACAGAUUUGUCGGGGUUCUUUGAUGCAGCAGUAUUGAUGAUCCAGAACACUGAUUGGCUGUUGGUAAUGCUGACCCUGCUUUGUCAAAGCCAUUACAGUGUACAAGCCUGAGAGCUGGACUCAGAAGUUAAAUACUGUAGUGCAGGGGUUUUCAAAGUUUUAAGGACUGAGAGCCAAUUUAGGGAGCCAGUAGCAGGAAAAGCGCAGUUGCGAGUUGUCCACCAAAAUCGCUAACUUUAGCUAACAGCACUGCCAUUGAUGACAGAAUGUAAAAACCACCGGUGGCCAUACAACCAGUAGCUUUCUAUAAGCUGUCAUUCCUAACCUGAUAGACGGUUGUUAGGGGGCACCGUUUGAUACAGUCUCCUAGCAGUGUAUUAAAUGUAAGCUAUUAAAUGUGAACAUAUUGAAUGUCCCCCAGAUGGUUAAAAUAUACUGCAUGCAUUUCAUGUCAUGUUUGGGGGCUGCAGUAAAUUUCUCUGAUGGCCGCCAUUGGCCUGCGGGCCAGUGAAUAUCAUUCAUUUUUCACCAGUUACAAUCACGGAGCUUACCUAACACCUGCAACGGCUAAAUCCAUCUUAACUCAUGACAAAUAAUGUUUAAUGCACGUCAAUGGUUGCUGCACGCCUUUCAAUGUCUUAUCUUGCUUAUGUUGGAAAAGAAAAGCUUUAUAUGUAUAUUUAAAUGCAUGUAUAUUUUUGGGGGGUAAUUGUAUUUUAUACCAUACUAACUGUAACUAUAAAUGUAACCACAUCUUUUAAUAAACACUUGUAUAUCUUGAA